UAAAACGUAGGUGGCAAGCGUUAUCCGGAAUUACUGGGCGUAAAGCGUGUGCAGGCGGAACGAUAAGUGGUGUAUGAAAUUUCCCAGCUUAACUGGGAGGGGUUAUGCCAGACUGUCGUUCUAGAGGGUGAGAGAGGAGCGUGGAAUUCCGGGUGUAGUGGUGAAAUGCGUAGAGAUCCGGAGGAACCCCAGAGGCGAAGGCGGCGCUCUGGCUCACCCCUGACGCUCAGACACGACAGCAUGGGGAGCGAACGGGAUUAGAAACCCCGGUAGUCCAUGCCGUAAACGAUGCUCACUAGGCGCUGCGGGACUCAACCCCCGCGGUGUCGCAGCUAACGCGCUAAGUGAGCCGCCUGGGGAGUACGGCCGCAAGGCUA
rnacentral:rRNA from 1 species